GUUACGUGAUCUUACGUGAGUUUGAGCAGGGCCCCUAGCUAGCAGAUCCCGGAUUUACCACCAGCGUCUAUCCAAGGCCGCGCCUGCGCAGAACACCGCAGUGGUUGGGGGCAGAGCUAUUUGACAAAGUUGGGACAAGCUCCAGCUGCGCAGCUAGGCAUUGGUCAGCAGGUUGCUGGAAGCAGGAUUUUUCUAGCCUUCCGGGGUGCCUCGGGUGGAAGCCGGCUAUUUCAAGUAGAAAUGCCCACGAGAUUGAUAGCUCCUUCAACUUCCCAAAUGCCUUGUUCUUUUAACUAGCUCCUGCUGCAAAGAGGCGAUCUAGCCACUGAAUUAAGCCAAUUACCUGAAAUAAAAGUUCUUACA
rnacentral:lncRNA from 1 species